UUAGUAGUAGUUAAGUUAUAAUAACAACUUGCAAAGUUGGAGUCGGGGUGUACCUACUAAU
rnacentral:tRNA from 1 species